GGUUCGAUCAUGGCCUCGAUUGAACGCUGGCGGGAUGCUUUACACAUGCAAGUCGAACGGCAGCACGGACUUCGGUCUGGUGGCGAGUGGCGAACGGGUGAGUAAUGUAUCGGAACGUGCCUAGUAGCGGGGGAUAACUACGAAGAAAGCGUAGCUAAUACCGCAUGUACGCCCUUCGGGGGAAAGCGGGGACCUUCGGGCCUCCUGCACUAUUAGAGCGGCCGAUAUCGGAUUAGCUUGCUGGUGGGGUAACGGCUCACCAAGGCGACGAUCCGUAGCUGGUUUGAGAUUUGACCAGCCACACUGGGACUGAGACACGGCCCAGACUCCUACGGAGGCAGUGGGGAAUUUGGACAAUGGGGGAAACUCCUGAUCCAGCCAUCCUGGCGUGUGCGAUGAAGGCCCCCGGGUUGUAAAGCACUUUUGGCAGGAAAGAAACGGCACGGGAUAAUACCCCGUGCAACUGACGGUACCUGCAGAAUAAGCACCGGAUAACUACGCCAGCAGCCGCGGUAAUACGUAGGGUGUUGCUAAUCGGAAUUACCGGGCGCAAAGCGUGCGCAGGCGGUUCGGAAAGAAAGAUGUGAAAUCCCAGAGCUUAACUUUUGGAACUGCAUUUUUACUAACUACCGAGCUAGGAGCGUGUCAGAGGGAGGUGGAAUCUGUGCGUGAAAUGCGUAGAUAUGCGGAGGAACACCGAUGGCGAAGGCAGCCUCCUGGGAUAACACUGACGCUCAUGCACGAAAAAGCGUGGGGAGCGAAACAGGAUUAGAUGAUCCGUAGUCCACGCCCUAAACGAUGUCAACUAGCUGUUGGGCCUUCGGGCCUUGGUAGCGCAGCUAACGCGUGAAGUUGACCGCCUGGGGAGUACGGUCGCAAGAUUAAAAACCCAAAAGGAAUUGAUUUCGGGACCCGCACAAGCGGUGGAUGAUGUGGAUUAAUUCGAUGCAACGCGUGAAAACCUUACCUACCCUUGACAUGUCUGGAAUCCCGAAGAGAUUUGGGAGUGCUCGCAAGAGAACCGGAACACAGGUGCUGCAUGGCUGUCGUCAGCUCGUGUCGAGAUGCCGGUUAUGUCCCCGCACGAGCGCAACCCUUGUCAUUAGUUGCUACGAAAGGGCAAUUUCAUCGAGAUCGCCGGUGACAAACUGGAGGAAGGUGGAUGACGUCAAGUCCUCAUGGCCCCGGCGGGCAGGCCACACGUCAUACAAUGGUCGGGACAGAGGGUCGCCAACCCGCGAGGGGGAGCCAAUCCCAGAAACCCGAUCGUAGUCCGAUCGUGUCUGCAACUCGAUCAUAAGAAGUCGGAAUCGCUAGUAAUCGCGGAUCUGUGGCGUCAACGCGGUGAAUACGUUCCCGGGUCUUGUACACACCGCCCGUCACACCAAGGGAGUGGGUUUUACCAGAAGUAGUUAGCCUAACCGUAAGGAGGGCGAUUACCACGGUAGGAUUCAUGACUGGGAAGUCGUAACAAGGUAGCCUUCAAAGAUACCUGAUGCCUUG
rnacentral:rRNA from 1 species